UGGGGAAUUUUGGACAAUGGGCGAAAGCCUGAUCCAGCAAUGCCGCGUGUGUGAAGAAGGCCUUCGGGUUGUAAAGCACUUUUGUCCGGAAAGAAAUGGCUCUGGUUAAUACCUGGGGUCGAUGACGGUACCGGAAGAAUAAGGACCGGCUAACUACGUGCCAGCAGCCGCGGUAAUACGUAGGGUCCAAGCGUUAAUCGGAAUUACUGGGCGUAAAGCGUGCGCAGGCGGUUGUGCAAGACCGAUGUGAAAUCCCCGAGCUUAACUUGGGAAUUGCAUUGGUGACUGCACGGCUAGAGUGUGUCAGAGGGGGGUAGAAUUCCACGUGUAGCAGUGAAAUGCGUAGAGAUGUGGAGGAAUACCGAUGGCGAAGGCAGCCCCCUAGGAUAACACUGACGCUCAUGCACGAAAGCGUGGGGAGCAAACAGG
rnacentral:rRNA from 1 species